UACAGAGGUCCCAAGCGUUGUUCGGAUUCAUUGGGCGUAAAGGGUGCGUAGGUGGCGCCGUAAGUCGGGUGUGAAAUUUCGGAGCUUAACUCCGAAACUGCAUUCGAUACUGCGGUGCUUGAGGACUGGAGAGGAGACUGGAAUUCAUGGUGUAGCAGUGAAAUGCGUAGAGAUCAUGAGGAAGACCAGUGGCGAAGGCAGCGAACUGGCCCUAUAUUGACGCUCAGGCACGAAAGCAUGGGGAUCAAACAGG
rnacentral:rRNA from 1 species